UACGUAGGGGGCAAGCGUUGUCCGGAAUCAUUGGGCGUAAAGCGCGUGUAGGCGGUUCGAUAAGUCUGCUGUGAAAGUCCAGGCUCAACCCUGGGAUGCCGGUGGAUACUGUCGGGCUCGAGUCCGGAAGAGGAGUGUGGAAUUCCUGGUGUAGCGGUGAAAUGCGCAGAUAUCAGGAGGAACACCAAUGGCGAAGGCAGCACUCUGGGACGUGACUGACGCUGAGACGCGAAAGCGUGGGGAGCAAACAGG
rnacentral:rRNA from 1 species